rnacentral:lncRNA from 1 species
UUCCGGCGGCUCCGCGGUACUUCGCCGGGCUGACCUCCGGGGCGGUCCGCGAACACUUCAGCCAUUAGCAGUGCUCUGUGCCACACAGCAUAAGCAGUGAAUGUGCAAAAUCCCCUGCGCACGAAACCGUCCUUCAGCCCUCUCCCUCAGGGUCCUGCCUGGGAGAUCUAGGCCAGCACCAACCACAUCCCGGCUCCUUCCGCGGAGAGGAUGUCCCUGCGGGCGGGGACAGCAGAAGGCAAGCCCUGCCCCUGGAGCCACAGCCAAGGCGUAACUGUCCAGGUCCUCCAGCCUAACGACUAGAAACAGAGACGGGGAGGGAACCUCCCUGACCACUCCGAAGUCUUGCUUGAGCUGCAGCGCCCCCUGCAGGCUAGAUGU